GACAGAGGGUGCGAGCGUUGUCCGGAAUUACUGGGCGUAAAGCGUGCGCAGGCGGUGAUGUAAGACAGAUGUGAAAUCCCCGGGCUCAACCUGGGAACUGCAUUUGUGACUGCAUCGCUGGAGUGCGGCAGAGGGGGAUGGAAUUCCGCGUGUAGCAGUGAAAUGCGUAGAUAUGCGGAGGAACACCGAUGGCGAAGGCAAUCCCCUGGGCCUGCACUGACGCUCAUGCACGAAAGCGUGGGGAGCAAACAGG
rnacentral:rRNA from 1 species